UACGUAGGUGGCGAGCGUUGUCCGGAAUUACUGGGUGUAAAGGGCGCGUAGGCGGGGGUGCAAGUCAGAUGUGAAAUACCGUGGCUUAACUGCGGGGCUGCAUCUGAAACUGUGCUUCUUGAGUGCUGGAGAGGAAAGCGGAAUUCCUAGUGUAGCGGUGAAAUGCGUAGAUAUUAGGAGGAACACCAGUGGCGAAGGCGGCUUUCUGGACAGUAACUGACGCUGAGGCGCGAAAGCGUGGGGAGCAAACAGG
rnacentral:rRNA from 1 species